UGGAUAUGCUCCAGUUCCACCGUCUUAUAGUCAAGUGGCCAGUUCUGCCAAUGUGCUCUCAAAUGGGGAACGAGCAUUGAGUAAAUAAUUAUUGCAUGAUCAAUUAGCAUAUGUACCCUUUGCUCAAUAUCCACAAUUUGUUUUCUCCUUUUUCAAUAUCCAGGUGCUAACGACCUUGGUAUUCCAAAGGCUCAACUUGAGGCCCAUUAGAUAUCUUUACAGCAACAAAUUGAGGUAUUAAAGUUUCUAACUUUAUUGAUAUCUUUAUUUAUUAUGCAUCUAUUAUACAUUAUAAUCAGUAGUUGUAGGUACAUUUAUAGCUGCUGGUACACCUGAAAGAGUACAAAAUUGUGAACUGAAAGGUGAUUUUUAGUAGUCAAAAUAGGACUACGUUUAUCAGAAACAGAAGGUGGAUUUAUCUAUUAUCAAUUCAGGCAAGAGGAGGGAAAAAGGGAUAGGAAUGACUUUUUUUUAAUGAGAAUUGCAAUAUGAUCCUAGGAAUAACUUAUCUAAUAAGAUUAGCAUAUGAUUCCUUUUCAAAUACUCAUAUUUCAAGUGUUUCAAUUACUUUAAAAAAUUAUACUAAAAUGUUGAUGCACUAUUUUAUUUUAUUUUUAUCCAAUCUUGUGACUUUUUUUUUGUCAAAGAUAAGUGUAAGAUAGUUUUUCACGUUAUGUCCGAUUAUGAUAUUCUCUAUUGUUUUGACUGCUUUCUUGUGUGUAAGACCCCUAAUGUUCUUUAAACAUACUUUUGGUACUCUGAUUAGGGUAUAAAGAAAGCCUAAUUCUUUUACUUAACUAAGAUAUUUAAGAAGAAUUGACGAUUGGAUUGUUUGAAAGAAAAAUCUGAAAAUACCAUCUUCGUGCAAGAACUCAGAGGCAAGGAAGUACAUAUUAAAUGAACUCAAUGGCACUGCGAGUAAACACCAAGCAUGUAUGUUAUCAGUUUCGAUUUCUUCCAUCCUAUGUUUCUGUCAUGUUUUUUUUUUUUCUGAUCUGAAAAAUACUUGCAUAGCUUUAGGUCGUGAAAUGUGACAUACAACUCAUAUGGAGUCGAAUUCUUUUGAUACUGCAAUUGAUUUAGCUGUGCCUACGCUCAAAGGUUUCCACUAUUUGACCAUUAUAAGGUGAAUAAUUUUAUUUCCCCUUGAUGAAAUUCAAUCCACUCGUGUGAAUAUGAUUGUUAUAUUUUCCGUCUCAUUACUUAUUUAAUAGUAGCUAUUAUGUUGCAAUAUUUGAAGUCAAAGAGGCAC
rnacentral:lncRNA from 1 species